rnacentral:tRNA from 1 species
GAGGCGGUAGCUCAGUGGUAGAGCGCAUGCUUACCACGCACGAGGUCCUAGGUUCGAUACCCAGUGCCUCC